AGAGUUUGAUCCUGGCUCAGGAUGAACGCUGGCGGUAUGCCUAACACAUGCAAGUCGUACGAGAGUUUUUAACUCUAGUGGCGGACGGGUGAGUAACACGUGAGAAUUUGCCUUUAGGAGGGGGAUAACAAUUGGAAACGAAUGCUAAUACCCCAUAUGCUUUCGAGUGAAAUGAAUUUUUUAUUUGCCUAAAGAGAAGCUCGCGGCUGAUUAGCUUGUUGGUAAGGUAAGAGCUUACCAAGGCGACGAUCAGUAUCUGGUUUGAGAGGACGAUCAGACACACUGGAACUGAGACACGGUCCAGACCCCUACGGGAGGCAGCAGUGGGGAAUUUUCCGCAAUGGGCGAAAGCCUGACGGAGCAAUACCGCGUGAGGGAAGAAUGCCUAUGGGUUGUAAACCUCUUUUUUCAGGGAGGAAUAAAUGACGUGUACCUGAAGAAUAAGCAUCGGCUAACUCCGUGCCAGCAGCCGCGGUAAGACGGAGGAUGCAAGUGUUAUCCGGAAUCACUGGGCGUAAAGCGUCUGUAGGUGGUUUAAUAAGUCAACUGUUAAAUCUUGAGGCUCAACUUCAAAAUCGCAGCUGAAACUAUUAGACUAGAGUAUAGUAGAGGUAAAGGGAAUUUCCAGUGUAGCGGUGAAAUGCGUAGA
rnacentral:rRNA from 1 species